rnacentral:rRNA from 1 species
CGUGGAUAACCUGCCUCAAGGCUGGGGAUAACAUUUGGAAACAGAUGCUAAUACCGAAUAAAACUUAGUAUCGCAUGAUAUAAAGUUAAAAGGCGCUACGGCGUCACCUAGAGAUGGAUCCGCGGUGCAUUAGUUAGUUGGUGGGGUAAAGGCUUACCAAGACAAUGAUGCAUAGCCGAGUUGAGAGACUGAUCGGCCACAUUGGGACUGAGACACGGCCCAAACUCCUACGGGAGGCUGCAGUAGGGAAUCUUCCACAAUGGGCGCAAGCCUGAUGGAGCAACGCCGCGUGUGUGAUGAAGGCUUUCGGGUCGUAAAGCACUGUUGUAUGGGAAGAAAUGCUAAAAUAGGGAAUGAUUUUAGUUUGACGGUACCAUACCAGAAAGGGACGGCUAAAUACGUGCCAGCAGCCGCGGUAAUACGUAUGUCCCGAGCGUUAUCCGGAUUUAUUGGGCGUAAAGCGAGCGCAGACGGUUGAUUAAGUCUGAUGUGAAAGCCCGGAGCUCAACUCCGGAAUGGCAUUGGAAACUGGUUAACUUGAGUGUUGUAGAGGUAAGUGGAACUCCAUGUGUAGCGGUGGAAUGCGUAGAUAUAUGGAAGAACACCAGUGGCGAAGGCGGCUUACUGGACAACAACUGACGUUGAGGCUCGAAAGUGUGGGUAGCAAACAGGAUUAGAUACCCUGGUAGUCCACACCGUAAACGAUGAAUACUAGGUGUUAGGAGGUUUCCGCCUCUUAGUGCCGAAGCUAACGCAUUAAGUAUUCCGCCUGGGGAGUACGACCGCAAGGUUGAAACUCAAAGGAAUUGACGGGGACCCGCACAAGCGGUGGAGCAUGUGGUUUAAUUCGAAGCAACGCGAAGAACCUUACCAGGUCUUGACAUCCUUUGAAGCUUUUAGAGAUAGAAGUGUUCUCUUCGGAGACAAAGUGACAGGUGGUGCAUGGUCGUCGUCAGCUCGUGUCGUGAGAUGUUGGGUUAAGUCCCGCAACGAGCGCAACCCUUAUUGUUAGUUGCCAGCAUUCAGUUGGGCACUCUAGCGAGACUGCCGGUGACAAACCGGAGGAAGGCGGGGACGACGUCAGAUCAUCAUGCCCCUUAUGACCUGGGCUACACACGUGCUACAAUGGCGUAUACAACGAGUUGCCAACCUGCGAAGGUGAGCUAAUCUCUUAAAGUACGUCUCAGUUCGGACUGCAGUCUGCAACUCGACUGCACGAAGUCGGAAUCGCUAGUAAUCGCGGAUCAGCACGCCGCGGUGAAUACGUUCCCGGGUCUUGUACACAC